ACACGUAGGGGGCGAGCGUUGUCCGGAAUUACUGGGCGUAAAGGGCGUGUAGGCGGCACCGCAAGUCAGGUGUGAAACCCCUAGGCUUAACCUGGGGCUUGCAUUUGAAACUGCGAUGCUUGAGGGCAGGAGAGGCAAGUGGAAUUCCUAGUGUAGCGGUGAAAUGCGUAGAUAUUAGGAAGAACACCAGUGGCGAAGGCGACUUGCUGGACUGGCCCUGACGCUGAGGCGCGAAAGCGUGGGUAGCGAACAGGAUUAGAUACCCUGGUAGUCCACGCCGUAAACGAUGGGUACUAGGUGUUGGGGGUAUCGAACCCCUCAGUGCCGCAGUAAACGCAGUAAGUACCCCGCCCGGGGAGUACGGUCGCAAGGCUGAA
rnacentral:rRNA from 1 species